UAUAGGAAAUUUCAAUUCCUAUAGGAAUUCCUAUAGGAAAUUUCAAUUCCUAUAGGAAUUCCUAUAGGAAUUUUAAUUCCUAUAGGAA